CCCGCGGCUAGACGGAAAGACCCCAUGAACCUUUACUGUAGCUUUACAUUGGACUUUGACAAGAUUUGUGUAGGAUAGGUGGGAGACGUUGAGAUAGGGACGCUAGUUCUUAUGGAGUCAUCCUUGAAAUACCACCCUGAUGUUGUUGAGGUUCUAACCUAGGUCCGUAAUCCGGAUCGGGGACCGUGUAUGGUGGGCAGUUUGACUGGGGCGGU
rnacentral:rRNA from 12 species